CAGCCAUUAUGUAAACGUCGUAAUUCUAGUAACUGUUUUAAUCCGCUGGAUUAUGCUGUGAUUUGAUUACAGCUUACCGCCUUAUGGCGGUCCUUGUGGGUGGCGAGAGACAUCCGGGCCAUGCUUGAUGUAGUCCAAUAAGCACGGGAUGGGAGUGAGCCUUUUCUCCUCCUCUAUUGGCAUCAGGAUGCAGCCUAAUAAUUAAGGAAAGUGGUUUUUUUUUUAUCAUUUGGCUUCCAGCAUGUUUCGGCAUGAAGGUUAAUCUGCUUUCGGCAUCAUCGGCUCUAUCGUCGCGUUGAAAAAUGAUAAAUAAUCAAAUGAAAGGAACUUUCCUUCAUUUAACUAUCAAAUUAAAUUAACAAAAUACAUUUUAGUUAUUAUCUUCAAAACUUUUUAAAUGUUGCUGUUAUUGUAAUUGCCACUGGUGUAACCAGCCAUGUGUUUAUUUUAACAUUUUGUUUUAUUGUGGGGCCCCCAAGCUUGCUAAGUUAAUAAUUUAAUGUUUUGUGAAACUGAAUACUCAGAAAAAUUGUAAGUUAAGUAUAUGCAUGAUGAUAUUUAAAUAAUAAAAAAAUAAAUGGCCUGAACCGAAAUA